UAAGUAGUUCACCUUAUCGCUUCGUAUUUGCGGAGAGGAAAGUCCGGACACCAUAGAGUAUCGUAGUGGGUAAUACCCAUCCGGUGCAAACCGAGGACAAGUGCAACAGAAAGUAUGUACAGUUAGGCUGUAGUGAAACCAGGUAAACUCUACGAGGUGCAAUGCUACGUAUAUUGGAGCUUGAGGGCUACUCGUCCAAUUCCAAGGGGUAAGCAGCUAAAAUAAUGCAGUAAUGCAUUGUUCAGAUAAAUGAUAAGGCUUCUUAGGAAGUACAGAAUCCGGCUUAUGAACUGCUUUUUUU
rnacentral:RNase_P_RNA from 1 species